GUGGAUUAGAUACCCUGGUAGUCCACGCCGUAAACGAUGGGUGCUAGGUGUGGGAGGUGUCGACUCCUUCCGUGCCGCAGCUAACGCAUUAAGCACCCCGCCUGGGGAGUACGGCCGCAAGGCUAAAACUCAAAGGAAUUGACGGGGCCCCGCACAAGCAGCGGAGCAUGUGGUUUAAUUCGAUGCAACGCGAAGAACCUUACCAGGGCUUGACAUGGUCGGGAAAACCGUAGAAAUACGGUCCUCCUUCGGGACUCGAUCACAGGUGGUGCACGGCCGUCGACAACU
rnacentral:rRNA from 1 species